AUCUUCAGGGCAGGGUUGAUUUCCCGACCGGCGGUAAAGUCCGCGAGCGCCUGUGCGCAUGAUCCGGUGAGAUUCCGGAACCGACAGUAAAGUCUGGAUGGAAGAAGAU
rnacentral:ncRNA from 1 species